rnacentral:pre_miRNA from 1 species
CUGGGGGGGGGGUGCUCCCUCAGCCCGGAUUGAGGGAGGGUGCAGGCCAGGCCAAGGGACCCCACCAGUGCACA